rnacentral:rRNA from 1 species
AACGUAGGAGACGAACGUUAUCCGGAGUUACUGGGCGUAAAGGGCUCGUAGGCGGUCUGUUGCGUCGGGAGUGAAAACUUACAGCUUAACUGUGGGCUUGCGGUCGAUACGGGCAUCACUGGAGUUCGGCAGGGGAGACUGGAAUUCCUGGUGUAGCGGUGAAAUGCGCAGAUAUCAGGAGGAACACCGGUGGCGAAGGCGGGUCUCUGGGCCGAUACUGACGCUGAGGAGCGAAAGCGUGGGGAGCGAACAGG